GUUUCUGCGCACCUCAUGAGCACAAGUAGUUCAUUCGAUCGAGAAGGAGACCAGGAACUUCUGGAAUGGCUUAAACGCCACGGGGCAGAUGCAGAUUCCAUCGAGAGGAUUCUAGCUGAAGAUUACAGUCUUGAUGACAUCCUUCAUUAUGUCACAAGAGACGACUUAAAGACUUUGAGAUUACGGUGUGUGAACAUUUCUGAUAAUCUGUAAUAUAUUCAUUUUUUUGUGUUUUUUUAUACUUGUAUUUACUACAACUCCCCCAAAACAGCCAAGAAUGUGUAUAGGAACGUGUUUUUAAAAUAAGCUCUAACGAUGCAUUUAUUUGAUU